CCCUUAGAUGUUCUGGGCCGCACGCGCGCUACUCUGAUGCAUUCAACAAGCCUAGCCUUGACCGAGAGGUCCGGGUAAUCUUUGAAACUGCAUCGUGAUGGGGCUAGAUUAUUGCAAUUAUUAAUCUUCAACGAGGAAUGCCUAGUAAGCGUGAUUCAUCAAAUCGCGUUGAUUACGUCCCUGCCCUUUGUACACACCGCCCGUCGCUCCUACCGAUUGAAUGUGUUGGUGAGGAGCUCGGAUUGGCAGCAGUUGGUGGUUCGCCACCGGCUAUUGCUGAGAAGUCCUCCAAACCGCCCCAUUUAGAGGAAGGAGAAGUCGUAACA
rnacentral:rRNA from 1 species